AUGCAGAAGUCUACGUUCUCAUUAGAGGUGUCUAAAAAAGAUAGUUCUUCAAGACUGACUACAUCAAACUGCUGGGAUAUCAAUAGCUUCCAAGUAAACACAGAGACGUGCAGGACCUCAGAGUACCAGGAUCCUAUUGUAGAAAUCUACCUGGAAUCACUCAAAUGUUUACUGCCAUUCAAGACUUUCCCUCCAGAUUGGAACUUCCCAUACAAUCAUUUUCCUUUAGCAGUAUUGGUCAACAGAUUCUUUAUCAAAGCUUCCUGUGCAAUUGUAUUGACUUCCUAACAAAAUAAAAAACAAAACAAAACAAAA
rnacentral:lncRNA from 1 species